GCCAAUAAUUAAAAAAAAGAAAACGUCCCUGCUAUUUAUCUGUCAACUUCAAAUUCGAGGCAUCUGUCAGUUUGAUUCAUUUACUUGUGAUGGAGUCCUCCGUGUUUUGGUGAAAUAUUUUGUUAAAAUUCUUUUUAUUUGGUCUGAAUUGAACUAAAAAGUGAACUGUGAUCAAAGUGCCACCGUGUCACAAUGCAGCGACUGCAAAAACGUUAUACAAAUUACGAAAUAUGUGGCAAACGAAAUAAUCGCCAAAAUGACCAAAAACGGAAUUUAUGGUGAAAUUUCCAUUAGCUGAAGACCCAUGCAGGCAGUGGGUCAAAUUUCUGGGGAAUGAAGUCCUACCUUCCCACGUCUUCUAUAGUGCCGUCGCCCGGGUGUUUGUAGUAUUAUCGUAAGACUCGUUGACCGUUGAAACGUCGGGAUGUAUUUCGAGUUAAUUAAACGCAGCACAAUU